rnacentral:tRNA from 1 species
GCACGGAUGGCCGAGUGGUCUAAGGCGCCAGACUCAAGCAACGCAAUGCUUCACACGAGAGUACAAUGUGUGUUACGAUCUAAAUGGGUGUUCUGGUAUCGUUAUCGAUGCGUGGGUUCGAAUCCCACUCCGUGCA